GGGCCCGCACAAGCGGUGGAUUAUGUGGUUUAAUUCGAAGCAACGCGCAGAACCUUACCUGGGCCUGAACUCCUACGAACCCGAAGUAAUGUUUGGGGUGCCCUCACGGGAAUGUAGAGAGAGGCGCUGCAUGGCUGUCGUCAGCUCGUGUUGUGAAUGUUGGGUUAAGUCUCGCAACGAGCGCAACCCCCGUUCUUAGUUGCCAGUAUUAAGUUAGGCACUCUAGGAAGACUGCCCGGGGUUAACCGGGAGGAAGGUGGGGAUGAUGUCAAGUCCUCAUGGCCCUUAUGUCCAGGGCGACACACGUAAUACAAUGGUUGAUACAAUGGGACGCGAACUCGCAAGAGGGUGCCAAUCUCAAAAAAUCAAUCUCAGUCCGGAUUGGAGUCUGCAACUCGACUCCAUGAAGUUGGAAUCGCUAGUAAUCGCGGAUCAGCACGCCG
rnacentral:rRNA from 1 species